GAUAGGCAAAUCGACAUAAGCUGCCAGCUAAAACUUUCUUUGACAUCAAAUUACGGAUCUAUUAACAGACAUAUACUUUAGACUGCUAACACAGUAAAAUGCAUUACACUAAACACAUUAAAAUUCUAACAAGCCAAACUAACAAAACUAUAACCAAGGAACUGUGAAUAUCCGCUCAGACAAAUCUGGCUUGAGACGAAAGUCAUUCAGCAUUUAUCGAUAUGCCGGGGAAAAAAAUGGUCAUCACAACGGACACAAUAAUUCAUCAGUUCAUGCCACGGAACAUGCUGUCUAUCCUGUCAGCUUAAGGUGUAUUGAAAGACAGUUUUAUGAAAGCACAUGAUCCUACUUUGAUAAAGAAAUGACAACUUAAAGUGAAACAGGAAUAAAAAUCAGACGACAUAUUCAUCAACCGAUACACCUUUUCUAUUAGAUCUUCGUGUUAAUGAAAAUAAUUUAUUAAAAAAAAAAAGCCAACAGAGAAAUACCUCAAACAACAAAGAAGAUGCCAUCAAGGGGUAAUCAAGCUUUAUACAGUUGUAAAAUAAAAAAUUGUAAGCUUUAAAAUAAACAAAUUCUAACAAGCCAAACUAACAAAACUAUAACCAAGGAACUGUGAAUGUCCGCUCAGACAAAUCUGGCUUGAGACUAAAGUCAUUCAGCAUUUAUCGAUAUGCCGGGGAAAAAAAUGGUCAUCACAACGGACACAAUAAUUCAUCAGUUCAUGCCACGGAACUUGCUGUCUAUCCUGUCAGCUUAAGGUGUAUUGAAAGACAGUUUUAUGAAAGCACAUGAUCCUACUUUGAUAAAGAAAUGACAACUUAAAGUGAAACAGGAAUAAAAAUCAGACGACAUAUUCAUCAACCGAUACACCUUUUCUAUUAGAUCUUCGUGUUAAUGAAAAUAAUUUAUUAAAAAAAAAAAAGCCAACAGAGAAAUACCUCAAACAACAAAGAAGAUGCCAUCAAGGGGUAAUCAAGCUUUAUACAGUUGUAAAAUAAAAAAUUGUAAGCUUUAAAAUAAACAAAUUCUAACAAGCCAAACUAUAACCAAGGAACUGUGAAUGUCCGCUCAGACAAAUCUGGCUUGAGACUAAAGUCAUUCAGCAUUUAUCGAUAUGCCGGGGAAAAAAAUGGUCAUCACAACGGACACAAUAAUUCAUCAGUUCAUGCCACGGAACUUGCUGUCUAUCCUGUCAGCUUAAGGUGUGUUGAAAGACAGUUUUAUGAAAGCACAUGAUCCUACUUUGAUAAAGAAAUGACAACUUAAAGUGAAACAGGAAUAAAAAUCAGAUGACAUAUUCAUCAACCGAUACACCUUUUCUAUUAGAUCUUCGUGUUAAUGAAAAUAAUUUAUUAAAAAAAAAGCCAACAGAGAAAUACCUCAAACAACAAAGAAGAUGCCAUCAAGGGGUAAUCAAGCUUUAUACAGUUGUAAAAUAAAAAAUUGUAAGCUUUAAAAUAAACAAAUUCUAACAAGCCAAACUAACAAAACUAUAACCAAGGAACUGUGAAUGUCCGCUCAGACAAAUCUGGCUUGAGACUAAAGUCAUUCAGCAUUUAUCGAUAUGCCGGGGAAAAAAUGGUCAUCACAACGGACACAAUAAUUCAUCAGUUCAUGCCACGGAACUUGCUGUCUAUCCUGUCAGCUUAAGGUGUAUUGAAAGACAGUUUUAUGAAAGCACAUGAUCCUACUUUGAUAAAGAAAUGACAACCUAAAGUGAAACAGGAAUAAAAAUCAGAUGACUUAUUCAUCAGACGAUACAUCUUUUCUACGAGACCUUCGUGUUAAUGAAAGUAAUUAAGAAACCCAAUAGAGAAAUACAUCAAACAACAAAGAAGAACUAUGAAUGUCCGCUCAGACAAAUCUGGCUCGAGACUAAAGUCAUUCAGCAUUUAUCGAUAUGCCGGGGAAAAAAUGGUCACCACAACGGACACAAUAAUUCAUCAGUUCAUGCCACGGAACUUGCUGUCUAUCCUCUUAGCUUAAGAUGUGUUGAAAGACAAUUUUAUGAAAGCACAUGAUCCUACUUUGAUAAAGAAAUGACAACCUAAAGUGAAACAGGAAUAAAAAUCAGAUGACAUAUUCAUCAACUGAUACACCUUUUCUAUGAGAUCUCCAUGUUAAUGAAAAUAAUUUAUUAAAAAAAAAACCAACAGAGAAAUACCUCAAACAACAAAGAAGAUGCCAUCAAGGGGUAAUCAAGCUUUAUACAGUUGUAAAAUAAAAAAUUGUAAGCUUUAAAAUAAACAAAUUCUAACAAGCCAAACUAACAAAACUAUAACCAAGGAAUUGUGAAUGUCCGCUCAGACAAAUCUGGCUUGAGACUAAUGUCAUUCAGCAUUUAUCGAUAUGCCGGGGAAAAGAAUGGUCAUCACAACGGACACAAUAAUUCAUCAGUUCAUGCCACGGAACUUGCUGUCUAUCCUGUCAGCUUAAGGUGUGUUGAAAGACAAUUUUAUGAAAGCACAUGAUCCUACUUUGCUAAAGAAAUGACAACCUAAAGUGAAACAGGAAUAAAAAUCAGAUGUCAUAUUCAUCAGACGAUGCACCUUUUCUAUGAGAUCUUCGUGUUAAUGAAAAUAAUUUAUUUAAAAAAAAAAAAAACCAACAGAGAAAUACCUCAAACAACAAAGAUGCCAUCAAGGGGUAAUCAAGCUUUAUACAGUUGUAAAAUAAAAAAAUUGUAAGCUUUAAAAUAAACAAAUUCUAACAAGCCAAACUAACAAAACUAUAACCAAGGAACUGUGAAUGUCCGCUCAGACAAAUCUGGCUCGAUACUAAAGUCAUUCAGCAUUUAUCGAUAUGCCGGGGAAAAAAUGGUCAUCACAACAGACACAAUAAUUCAUCAGUUCAUGCCACGGAACUUGCUGUCUAUCCUCUUAGCUUAACGUGUGUUGAAAGACAGUUUUAUGAAAGCACAUGAUCCUACUUUGAUAAAGAUAUGACAACCUAAAGUGAAACAGGAAUAAAAAUCAGACGACUUAUUCAUCAGACGAUACACCUUUUCUACGGGAUCUUUAUGUUAAUGAAAAUAAUUUAU